UACAUGUGGGGCAAGCGUUGUUCGGAAUUACUGGGCAUAAAGGGUGCGUAGGUGGCUUAGUAAGUCAGUGGUGAAAUCGUCCGGCCCAACCGGACACGUGCCAAUGAUACUGCUGAGCUCGAGUGCGUGAGGGGUAGGGGGAACGAGCAGUGUAGCGGUGAAAUGCGUAGAUAUUGCUCGGAAGGCCAAAGCCGAAGGGACCCUACUGGUGCGCAACUGACACUGAGGCACGAAAGCGUGGGGAGCAAACAGG
rnacentral:rRNA from 1 species